CACCCCCUAACAAGAAAGAAAGAAAAGAAAAAGUUCUUUGCUUAUCGUAAACAACUGUUCAUAAUGAUCAAAAGAGUCAUGAACAAGGCUGAUAUGGAGAGAUAGAUAAAAGAUGCUUCGGAGAUCAGCUGAUAGCAUUGAGUGGUUUAACUAGACUAUACAGGAAGAUGGUUGAAAUAUAACCUUCCUUCUCAGUUAAUAUGUUUUACUUGGACAUAUCUUUUCCUUUUCAUGUCAUGUUUGUGCUUUCUCCAUUGUGAUGGCAACUGUUAAACUCUUAUUGUGUUCUUGUAUCAGCUUCUAAGCCUUUUGAUUCUAUAGUUCGAUUGGGAUGUAUUUGUUACUCACUCUAAAGCUUUGCUUUUUGGUAGGAGUAUGAAGAAAAACUGAAAGAAAAGGGCGAACAGCCAGUCAUGUUUAGGUAAAAGAAGGCGGUCCUUUUCUAAUUUAUGUGUUUUCGAUCCUCAGACCCACCCAACCCCUAAAAUCAAGAAAUUACUCUCUUCUAUACUUAGUUCUCUUGUCUCAACUUUCUCCAACAGUCACUUGGGCCCUCCUCGAAGGCGGACCUCUGCUGAAGAGGAAGAAAUGGUCAAGCAUCCAAAACCUGAAGUAAGUUUUCACUUAACUCCUACAUUUUUUGUGGAAUUAGCUAGUGCUGAUCUGUGAAUCACAGCUAGCAAUAUGUGGUUGCAGGACUCGGUCUACUAUCACCCUACUCUAAAUCCAACUGGAGCUCCUCCUCCUGGAAAACCUCCUAUGUUUAAGUCAUCCAUUGGUGUGUAUAAUUCACUUCUCUAGUGAGUUUAAUGUUGCUUUCCGUGUGUGCGUCUCUCUGAUACUAUUCAUGCUUCAAACUACAGGAUCUCGAGUACCAUUAUCUGCGGCUUCAUCAAGCGGUACAGCAUCAUCAUCACAGUUGGAUGGAGAAGAUGGCAGCUUAUCAACUCUUCCUCCACCACCUCCACCACCUCCAUUGCCCCAGAGUGGUGAUGCAGAUUCUGUGGAUGUGUCUGCGAUGCCUGCAUCUUUACCUUUACCACCUCCACCUCCUAUGCCCCCAAAGCCCGUGACAGAAAUGAGCACUUCAUUGCCACUGCCUCCUUUGCCCCCACCACCUCCUGGUCCCCCACCAAAGGAACAGGUUGCCGUUCACCUUCCACUUCCUCCACCUCCCGCACCUCCCCUUCAGCCAUCUGCUCAACCUCCUCCCCCCGGCACUGGUGGAAGUGAAAGGGAUAGAAAUAACCUGGACAAUCCAGCUUCAGUAGAACUAAUGCCGGUAGUCUUGUCUUCUCACUAACUUAUUUAAAAUAUAUGUUCGAGGGAGUUCCUCUUUGGAAUUCCUGGAUAUGUAUAUAAUGUUUAUUUUCUAGUGAUGAUCUCUUUGCUUUUUCAUGGGUCCACUGUGCUUGCUCAGCCUCCUCUUCCACCGGGCUUGCCAUUGAAGUCAGAUGGCACAUCUGUUGAAUCUGAUGCUAAAGCUUCCUCAGAGUCGAAAGAUCAUGUUAGAUUGCCACCGCCACCUCCACCACCUCCAAGGCAACAGCCUUCAGUUCCUGGAGCUGCCAUGGUCCCAACUUUGCAUCAUGAUGUAUUACCUCCUGGACUUCCUCGGUUCCCUCCACCCCCACCCCCGACUGACAUGCGGCCACCACCUGGAAUUGCCGGCCAGCUUGCUCCACCUGGAGUCAUGCUCUCACUUAUGCCAAGACCACCUUUCGGACCUCCUCCUGGUCCUCCACCAAUGAUGAGACCGCCACUUCCGCCUGGUCCCCCUCCUUAUCUACAAGAUGGUGCCAGACCACUUGCCACUCAGAAGCCAUCAUAUGUUAAAUCAGCUGCUUCAACCGUUGUUAAGAGGCCUCUAGCUCAGCAUACACCAGAACUU
rnacentral:lncRNA from 1 species